AUACGGAGGAUGCAAGCGUUAUCCGGAUUUAUUGGGUUUAAAGGGUGCGUAGGCGGAUGAUUAAGCGUGAGGGGAAAUGCCACUGCUCAACCGUGGAACUGCCUCGCUAACUGGUUGUCUUGAAUGCUCCUGCCGUGGGAGGAAAGUGUGGUGUAGCGGUGAAAUGCAUAGAGAUUACACAGAACACCGAUUGCGAAGGCAUCUCACGAAGGGGUGAUUGACGCUGAGGCACGAAAGCGUGGGGAUCAAACAGGAUUAGAUACCCUGGUAGUCCACGCAGUAAACGAUGAUAACUAACCGCUGGGUCGUAGUGAUUCAGUGGCCAAGCGAAAGCGAUAAGUUAUCCACCUGGGGAGUACGACCGCAAGGUUGAAACUCAAAUGAAUUGACGGGG
rnacentral:rRNA from 1 species